UACGGGGGGGGCAAGCGUUGUUCGGAAUUACUGGGCGUAAAGGGCGCGCAGGCGGCCAACUAAGUCGGAUGUGAAAUCCCCAGGCUCAACUUGGGAACUGCAUCCGAUACUGGAUGGCUUGAAUGCGGGAGAGGGAUGUAGAAUUCCAGGUGUAGCGGUGAAAUGCGUAGAUAUCUGGAGGAAUACCGGUGGCGAAGGCGGCAUCCUGGGCCGACAUUGACGCUGAGGAGCGAAAGCUAGGGGAGCGAACAGG
rnacentral:rRNA from 1 species